AGUGAACGCUGGCGGUAGGCCUAACACAUGCAAGUCGAACGGCAGCACAGUAAGAGCUUGCUCUUACGGGUGGCGAGUGGCGGACGGGUGAGGAAUACAUCGGAAUCUACUUUUUCGUGGGGGAUAACGUAGGGAAACUUACGCUAAUACCGCAUACGACCUACGGGUGAAAGCAGGGGAUCUUCGGACCUUGCGCGAUUGAAUGAGCCGAUGUCGGAUUAGCUAGUUGGCGGGGUAAAGGCCCACCAAGGCGACGAUCCGUAGCUGGACUGAGAGGAUGAUCAGCCACACUGGAACUGAGACACGGUCCAGACUCCUACGGGAGGCAGCAGUGGGGAAUAUUGGACAAUGGGCGCAAGCCUGAUCCAGCCAUACCGCGUGGGUGAAGAAGGCGUUCGGGUUGUAAAGCCCUUUUGUUGGGAAAGAAAAGCAGCAGGUUAAUACCCCGCUGUUCUGACGGUACCCAAAGAAUAAGCACCGGCUAACUUCGUG
rnacentral:rRNA from 1 species